AGUAUUUUAUAGGAACUGAAACAGGUAUGAUAUGCACAAGCACUCUUCCAUCAAUGGAGUUCCACCUCUUGUAGAACUGGAGCCACAACAAUAUGAACAGCAUUCAACUAAUUUAUUAGUGAAUUAAUAUCACAAUUAAUACAGCUUAUGCAUGCUAAGUUUCCUAUUUCUGUCAAAGAAACUGUUUUUAAAGUUGAAGAUUCCUCCCCUUAAUUCUUCUGUUCUUCUAUCUUCUACGAGACAGAAGAUACAAAUAAAAUCCAGGUCUGUUGACCUAUCUCAGUUGCAUUUAUUGCAAUA